rnacentral:pre_miRNA from 1 species
CAGGGUUGGGGUCUCAGAAGGCAGUGAUUUUGGGGCAUCUCCACCAUGGCCUGGACUCUGGUCCUCCUCACCUUUCUCUCUCAGGGCACAGGUGA